rnacentral:rRNA from 1 species
UACGGGGGGGGCAAGCGUUGUUCGGAAUUACUGGGCGUAAAGGGCGCGUAGGCGGCCUUCUAAGUCAGACGUGAAAUCCCUCGGCUCAACCGAGGAACUGCGUCUGAUACUGGCAAUCUCGAGUCCGGAAGAGGUGAGUGGAAUUCCUAGUGUAGAGGUGAAAUUCGUAGAUAUUAGGAAGAACACCGGUGGCGAAGGCGGUUCUCUGGGCAUUGACCUGACGCUGAGGAGCGAAAGUGUGGGGAGCGAACAGG